GUCAAGUGACUAAGUGCAUGUGGUGGAUGCCUUGGCGAUUACAGGCGACGAAGGACGUGAUAGCCUGCGAUAAGCUUCGGGGAGCUGGCAAAUUAGCUUUGAUCCGGAGAUUUCCGAAUGGGGAAACCCACCGAAAGGUAUCGUAUUCUGAAUACAUAG
rnacentral:rRNA from 1 species